UUAACAUGAUGGACUAUAGGACAGGACUGCUGCUUUUAACUGUCUGCUGGGCAGGUGUUGAUGGUCAGACUCUUUCAGAAUCUGAAUCAGUCAUUAAGAGGCCUGGAGAAUCCCACAGAUUGACCUGUACAGCCUCUGGAUUCACAUUCAGCAGCUACCAUAUGAACUGGGUCAGACAGGCUCCUGGAAAAGGACUGGAGUGGGUUGCCUGGGUUGAAAAUGAUAAUGACAGGAAAUACUACUCUCAGUCAGUCCAAGGCCGGUUUACCAUCUCCAGAGACAACAGCAAACAGCAGGUGUAUCUGCAGAUGAACAGUCUGAAGACUGAAGAUUCUGCUGUUUAUUAUUGUGCUCGACAGCCUCACAGUGACUGGAGUUGUUUGAGCAGCUGUACAAAAACCUACAGUACUCAUCUUUGUGCUGGUCGAGCAAAAGCAUGA